UACGAAGGGGGCUAGCGUUGCUCGGAAUCACUGGGCGUAAAGGGUGCGUAGGCGGGUCUUUAAGUCAGGGGUGAAAUCCUGGAGCUCAACCCCAGAACUGCCUUUGAUACUGAGGAUCUUGAGUACGGGAGAGGUGAGUGGAACUGCGAGUGUAGAGGUGAAAUUCGUAGAUAUUCGCAAGAACACCAGUGGCGAAGGCGGCUCACUGGCCCGUUACUGACGCUGAGGCACGAAAGCGUGGGGAGCAAACAGG
rnacentral:rRNA from 1 species